rnacentral:rRNA from 1 species
GAGUAUCAAUUGGAGGGCAAGUCUGGUGCCAGCAGCCGCGGUAAUUCCAGCUCCAAUAGCGUAUAUUAAAGUUGUUGCAGUUAAGAAGCUCGUAGUUGAAUUUCUGCCUUGUCAUUAAUCUCGCUUCCGAGCGUUUUUUUAUUGGCUUGGCAUCUUCUGGAUUUGGUGCCUUCGGGUACUAUUUUCCAGGAUUUACUUUGAGAAAACUAGAGUGUUUCAAACAGGCAUUCGCCUUGAAUACUACAGCAUGGAAUAAUGAAGUAGGACUUUGGUUCUAUUUUGUUGGUUAUUGAGCCAGAGUAAUGGUUAAUAGGAGCAGUUGGGGGCAUUCGUAUUUAACUGUCAGAGGUGAAAUUCUUAGAUUUGUUAAAGACGAACUACUGCGAAAGCAUUUGCCAAGGAUGUUUUCAUUAAUCAAGAACGAAAGUUAGGGGAUCGAAGACGAUCAGAUACCGUCGUAUUCCUAACCAUAAA